GACGAACGCUGGCGGCGUGCUUAACACAUGCAAGUCGAACGGAAAGGCCUGCUUUCCCUUGUGGUUUGCGGGUACUCGAGUGGCGAACGGGUGAGUAACACGUGAGUGAUCUGCCCCCAACUUGGGUAUAAGCCUGGGAAACUUAGUCUAAUUCCCGAUAGGACUGCAGGGUGGUUCCUGUGGUGGAAAACGAUUUUCUAGUGGUUGGGGAUGAGCUCGCGGCCUAUCAGCUUGUUGGUGGGGUAAUGGCCUACCAAGGCGGCGACGGGUAGCCGGACUGAGAGGGUGGACGGCCACAUUGGGACUGAGAUAUGGCCCAGAAUCCUACGGGAGGCAGCAGUGGGGAAUAUGGUACAAUGGGCGGAAGCCUGAUGCAGCGACGCCGAGUGGGGGAUGACGGCCUUCGGGUUGUAAACUCCUUUCGACCGAGAGGAAGCCACCUGGUUGGAAGGGUGGUGACGGUAGUGGUAGAAGAAGCACCGGCUAACUACGUG
rnacentral:rRNA from 1 species